CUGAGCAUGGUAUAAGGUAAAGUAUCUUGGUCUGGGAGGUCAGGAACUCUGCCUUCCCUGGAUUAAUAACUUUGGAAAAAGUCACUGGACACUGGGUUAAUUUGGUGCCUCGCUAUAAACUAAGAAGAGAUGGAUCAGUUGGAUCUCUGAGGCCUCUGAUACUACAGUAAGUGGAAUCCCAAGUAUUGCCUAGGUAGGGGCAGGCACUGAGUGGAAGAGAGUGCUGACACCAUCUAUAUCGUCAGAAUGAGACAGCACAGCUAGAGAAAGCUCUCUGUUUUCAUAUGAUUUUCAGUGCACGUGCACCAUGUGUGGCCCUCUAUUGAAUCAUGAAACAUGUCAAGGAUGGUUAAUCAGUCUAUAACAAAGAUAACAAUAUCUUAAACAGUUUAAAAAGAAAGCUCAUUCAUCCUACACUCCUGGACUGUCAUCGUUCUUUUAAAAAAAUCUUCCUCUUUUCUUUUCCUUUUGUUAAUUUGUAGGGCAGCAGUUGUGAUUCCUAACAUGGGCAUGGCUUUACUGUGGCAUUCUAUCACCAGUGAGAUUGAUGGCAUGAGGUAUUUCUGCAAGUGCGUGCAAGCUCAUGCGUCAUCCAGAGUCCUGCUGGGGAUUUAGUUCUUGCUGUUCAUGGCUGUAUCAGUUGAAUCGGAAGCUUCCAAGUGGCCCUUCAUGCAGGAAGAUGUUUAUUCCCCACAGCAUACCAGCACCAAAUCCCAGGCCCUCAAUCUGUUUAGAAACCUGUAUCCCUACUUACCCAAAUAAAGAGGUCAGACCAGAUGUGGGAAGGAAAGUAAGACAGUUGUAAU
rnacentral:lncRNA from 1 species